rnacentral:lncRNA from 1 species
UGGAGAGUAAGGCAGCUGGGAAUUUUGGAGGCUUCCUGUUCCAGGUGGAAGGUGUUGUCUCUAAAGUGCAAGUGAAGCCUCACAGGUGAGGGAGGCAGCAAACAUCUGGCAGAGCACAGCACUCAAAGUGGGCAAAAUUAGAGAACGGGCUGAGGGUGACCCUGGGAAAUUCCUCUGCAGAGUUUCUGUUCCCAUUGUGAGGAGGUGCCAUCAUCUGUUCUGUGACACCUGGAGAAAAUCCUUCCUGGCUCUGCCUGCACAGAGCUGUGGAUGGAUUCUUCAGACACAGAGCAAGCACUCCUCCUUGGGAGCUCCUUUUCCUGGAGCUGGAGCCUGCCUGGAUGCCUUUGAAGAGGCUUUUUUUGCAUUUGUUGGAAAACCAGAGGACAACAAGCUCUGA